rnacentral:rRNA from 1 species
UACGUAGGGGGCAAGCGUUGUCCGGAAUCAUUGGGCGUAAAGCGCGUGUAGGCGGUCCGGUAAGUCGGCUGUGAAAGUCCAGGGCUCAACCCUGGGAUGCCGGUCGAUACUGCCGGACUAGAGUUCGGAAGAGGCGAGUGGAAUUCCCGGUGUAGCGGUGAAAUGCGCAGAUAUCGGGAGGAACACCAAUGGCGAAGGCAGCUCGCUGGGACGUUACUGACGCUGACAGCGCGAAAGCCAGGGGAGCAAACGGG